AAAACGACUCUCGGCAACGGAUAUCUCGGCUCUCGCAUCGAUGAAGAACGUAGCGAAAUGCGAUACUUGGUGUGAAUUGCAGAAUCCCGUGAACCAUCGAGUCUUUGAACGCAAGUUGCGCCCGAAGCCGUCAGGCCUAGGGCACGUCUGCCUGGGCGUCACGC
rnacentral:rRNA from 1 species